rnacentral:rRNA from 1 species
UACGUAGGGUGCGAGCGUGUCCGGAAUUACUGGGCGAAAGAGCUCGUAGGUGGUUUGUCGCGUUGUUCGUGAAUCUACAGGCUUAACUGUGAGCGUGCGGGCGAUACGGGCAGACUAGAGUACUGCAGGGGAGACUGGAAUCCUGGUGUAGCGGUGGAAUGCGCAGAUAUCAGGAGGAACACCGGUGGCGAAGGCGGGUCUCUGGGCAGUAACUGACACUGAGGAGCGAAAGCGUGGGGAGCGAACAGG